AAUUGCAGUACUAAGUAAAUGAUGAAAAUGUAAAGUGAGGCAUUCAGCAAAUAUAUAUUACAACACAUACAUUUGAUGAAUGUACUUCAGAUGUAACUAAUGACGAUUUUCAGUUAAUCUGUUGAUUAUUACGGUAUUUUAUUGAUAUGAGAAAAUUGGAACAAACGGCCAUGCGAAUUCUUCACAAGCCAAAGAGGAAAAUGAACAAAUGCAGAAAUUAACAGUUGAAACCACUUUAUUCUAUUUGAUUUACAGUGACGUGAGUCUGCUUCCUCCACUCACACAGAUGACACUUAAAACACAAUUAAAAACUGUGACAUCAGUGCUUCAGCCUAAAAGACAAGUAAUACAAAGUAAGAACCAUCAUAGCAGAGAAAAAAACAGGAUAAGAAUAAUAGAUAAAGAAGAGCUGUACAGUCAACAAGCUAAUUUCAUAAAUACGUGUAAUGCUAGGUUUCUUUGGAUUGGUGCUGUAGAAAAAGAACUA